GACGAACGCUGGCGGCGUGCUUAACACAUGCCAGUCGAACGGAAAGGCCCUGCUUUUGUUGGGUGCUCGAGUGGCGAACGGGUGAGUAACACGUGAGUAACCUGCCCUUGACUUUGGGAUAACUUCAGGAAACUGCGGCGAAUACCGGAUAGGAGCUCCUGCUGCAUGGUGGGGGUUGGAAAGUUUCGGCGGUUGUGGAUGGACUCGCGGGUUAUCCGCUUGUUUGUGGGGUAGUGGCUUACCAAGGCUUUGACGGGUAGCCGGCCUGGGAGGGUGACCGGCGACAAGGGGACUGAGAGAGGGCGCAGAAUGCUACGGGACGCAGCAGGGGGGAAUCUUGCACAAUGGGCGGAAGCCUGAUGUAGCAACGCCGCGUGCGGAAUAACGGCCUACGGGUUGUAAACCGCUGUCGCCUGUGACGAAGCGGGCGUGACGGUAAUGGGUAAAGAAGCACCGGCUAACUACGUG
rnacentral:rRNA from 1 species